GUUACGUGAGAGUUGGUCUCACAUUCUAGUUUCUCUCUUCCAAGAAAAUUACAAAAAAGAAUAAUCUUCUUCUUCCUCUCAUCUUCUUUUUCCUUCUUUCAAAAAAUUGUGCAGAGCCCAUCACUUCUGCAUAUUCUUAUUUCCAAGAGAAUACAAAGGGUUCUCAACUGGUGGUGUCUUGGUUUGGAGAUCAAGAUCCAAAUCAAAGCGUUCAUGUUCAUGGAACAAGGGAUUUCGCAAAGAAAAUUAUUGUGCUUCAAGGGUCAUCAUAAAAAAAUAUUGCUAAAUCUUUUCAAAGUGAGAGAAGGAGGGAAGGCGCGCUACAACUGACAGAACAACCAAGACCUAAAAUUGACGCAACAAAGAUACGAAAAAAAUAUCCAUUAUAUUAUAAUGGCUUAUUACAUCAAUAACUUGACUUUGAUCAAGGUGAUUAAAAACAUCUGACACAGAAGUUCCAAAGAACAUAAUUGAUUGAUAAUCCGUGAUGGCAAGUAGUUCUUUACUUAAAGAAUCUAACCUAGCCAAGUC